GACGAACGCUGGCGGCGUGCUUAACACAUGCAAGUCGAGCGAUGAAGUUCCUUCGGGAAUGGAUUAGCGGCGGACGGGUGAGUAACACGUGGGUAACCUGCCUCAUAGAGAGGAAUAGCCUUUCGAAAGGAAGAUUAAUACCGCAUAAGAUUGUAGUAUCGCAUGAUACAGCAAUUAAAGGAGUAAUCCGCUAUGAGAUGGACCCGCGUCGCAUUAGCUAGUUGGUGAGGUAACGGCUCACCAAGGCGACGAUGCGUAGCCGACCUGAGAGGGUGAUCGGCCACAUUGGGACUGAGACACGGCCCAGGCUCCUACGGGAGGCAGCAGUGGGGAAUAUUGCACAAUGGGGGAAACCCUGAUGCAGCAACGCCGCGUGAGUGAUGACGGUCUUCGGAUUGUAAAGCUCUGUCUUCAGGGACGAUAAUGACGGUACCUGAGGAGGAAGCCACGGCUAACUACGUGCCAGCAGCCGCAGUAACAC
rnacentral:rRNA from 1 species